rnacentral:rRNA from 1 species
GACGAACGCUGGCGGCGUGCUUAACACAUGCAAGUCGAACGGAAAGGCCCUGCUUUUGUGGGGUGCUCGAGUGGCGAACGGGUGAGUAACACGUGAGUAACCUGCCCUUGACUUUGGGAUAACUUCAGGAAACUGGGGCUAAUACCGGAUAGGAGCUCCUGCUGCAUGGUGGGGGUUGGAAAGUCUCGGCGGUUGGGGAUGGACUCGCGGCUUAUCAGCUUGUUGGUGGGGUAGUGGCUUACCAAGGCUUUGACGGGUAGCCGGCCUGAGAGGGUGACCGGCCACAUUGGGACUGAGAUACGGCCCAGACUCCUACGGGAGGCAGCAGUGGGGAAUAUUGCACAAUGGGCGGAAGCCUGAUGCAGCAACGCCGCGUGCGGGAUGACGGCCUUCGGGUUGUAAACCGCUUUCGCCUGUGACGAAGCGUGAGUGACGGUAAUGGGUAAAGAAGCACAGGCUAACUACGUG